GAAUGGUUAAUGAUUAGUAACUCUAAUAUGUAUUUUAUAUAUAAUACAUAGUAACUGUAUUGUGAGGUGUGUAACUUGUAUCUUUGUACUUUCUUUCUGAAUUAUGUUUAUUCUCUCUUUCUUGGCCAAUGUCAUGUCUGACUUGGAUUCUCUAUUUCGAUAAUUAUGUAUUACUAGUUGUAAACUUUACUUUCAAUAAUAAAUCAUAGACUAUAUUAUCUUUAUUGAGUGAAUUUAUUGAACAUUGGUCUUGUAGUAUUGCAACAUUUGGUGCUUUCAUUGUCCUCCCAAUGGCUGAAAAUACUCGUUUGAAGGAAAUAACUGUAGAAUUAAAGCGACUCUAAGAGCAUGUUAUGGUUCAACAAGCAAGUUCUUUACGUAUUGAUAUGUUGGAGCAAAAAUUGAACUCCUUUAUGACAUCUCACGAUCCUUCACGAAUGGUUCCAUUCACAUAAUUUCAUGUAAUUUGGAACGUGUGGGUCGUACGGAUGUUGCUUGAGGGGUUUCGAAUAAUAAUUUGCCUAUUCACUCUAUGAAGUUGGAUUUCCAUAAAUUCGAUGGCUCCGAACCACUCAAUUGGUUAUUUCGCAUGGAAUAGUUCUUUACUAUAUCAAACAUCGGGACCACAACGGUUGGCCAUCGCUGCUAUCCAUAUGGAAGGAGAUGUCAGUCCUUGGUUUCAAAUGCUUCAAAAGAUGAAUCUCCUUCCCAAUUGGGCUCUUGUGCAAGAAAUUGAAGCGCAUUUUGGUCCUUCUCCAUUAGACUCGCCUCAUGCGGCCUUAUUUAAGCUUCAAUAGAUUGAUUCAGUCCAGAAUUAUUAUCAUAAAUUUUCUUUCUUGGCGAAUCACGUAGAAGGCCUAAUUGAUGCCGCAUUACUGGAUUGUUUUAUCAGUGGUCUCAAAUCAAAUGUAAAGAGGGAAGUUAUGGUUUAAUUGCCAAAUUCUUUGGUUAGGGCGGUGGUGUUAGCAAAAUUGUAUGAUGCUAAGCCCACACCAACUCCGCACUAUUCCAAGAACCGUUUUAUGGCUUUGACGCAAAACCAGAUUAAUUCCCCUCUGCCUUCAUUACAAAAUUCAUCGACGCCAGGUUUGUUUCCAACGUAAAAAAUGUAGGCUUUACCAGCACCCAUUUCUUCUAAUUUCGUAAAGUGCAUGACCGCCACUGAGAUGCAGAUUUGACGAGACCGCGACCUUUUUUAUACGUGUAAUGAGAAAUUUACACCUAACCAUCGCUACCCAGAUCGUCAAUUUUUAUUUCUUCUCCAAGAAGAUGACUUGCCGCAAGAAACUUCGCCACUUAUUCAGUGUGAUGAUUCUAUUCCGAUUGUUGAAGAGUCACUGGCAGAAUUUCAUCACUUAUCUCAUAGCACUUUUCAUGGUGCUUUUGGUCCGGGUACUUUGCGUUUUCGUGGGUUACUAUUUGGGCAUGAAGUUCAGGUUCUACUUGACAGUGGGCCUUCAAAUAAUUUUAUUCAACCUCAAUUGGCAAAAUUUCUUCAACUUCCAAUUGGACAUGCACUUGAUUUCAAGGUUUUGGUGGGCAACGAGCAUUACUUGUCAUGUGAAGCUCGAAUCAGAUAGGUUCCACUUUCCAUUCAGGGUCAUACAAUUCAUUUAUCUGCUUUUCUUUUACUAGUUUCAGGUGCAGAAAUAAUUCUUGGCGCUUCUUAGUUGUCGACAUUGGGGGCUCAUGUGGUAGAUUAUAACACACUUACAAUUAAGUUCUUUGAUGGGCCAGAGUUUGUCACGCUUCAAGGAGAUUCUCAAAGGUCGACUUCUGUUACUCAAAUGCAAUACCAUCACCAUUGUCGCCUUCAUCAUAUUGAUGCGAUCUCAACAGUUUUUAAAUUACAGCCACAUAUGUCUUCUAAUGUAGAGGAUCCUUUACUCCAUUUGGUUUCGAAACUGCCUUAUGACAUAUUGGUUAUCCUUCAACAUUUCCUUUUAGUAUUUACCAUAUCUCAUGGUUUUCCAUCGUAGCGGAGUCAUGAUCAUGCAAUUUCAUUGUUACUGAAUGUUCUUCUAGUGAAAGUGAGGCCUUAUCCGUAUCCUUUUAGUUAUAAGACUGAGAUCGAGAAGAUUGUUCGUGAAUUAUUACAGGAAGGGCUUAUUCAACAUAGUACAAGUCCUUUUUCAUUUCUAGUGAUUUUGGUAAAAAAGAAGGAUGGGUUGUGGCAAUUUUAUACAAAUUACAGGGCCUUAAAUGCUAUGACAGUUAAAGUUGCUUGUUAAACCAGAAGACCGUCAUAAAAUAUCUUUUUGCACACGUCAAGGCCAUUAUGAAUGGUUGGUGAUGCCAUUUGGUCUUACAAAUGCUCCAACUUCCUUUCAGACUUAUGAAUAAGAUAUUUCAGGAUUUUUUGCGCAAGUUCGUUUUGGUGUUUUUUGAUGAUAUACUAAUUUACAGUGCAUCUUGGUUGGAUCAUUUGCAACAUUUAGAGAAGGCGUGCAUAUGGAUCUUGAUAAGGUUGAAUCGGUCCUUUAGUGGCUAGUUCCGACCGCUCUUAAGCAACUUAGAGGUCUCCUUGGUCUCACAAGUUACUAUCAUUGUUUCAUUAAAGGUUAUGCUUCAUUAGCCUCUCCUUUGCAGGAUUUAUUAAAAAAAUGAUGUUUUUCUGUGGUUUGAUACAACUCAGGUUGCUUUUGACAAUCUGAAACGUGCUAUGACACAAGCAUCUAUUUUGGUGCUUCCUAAUUUUUCAAUUCCAUUUGAAUUAGAGACAGAUGCCUCAAAAGCAGAUAUUGCAAACUUCGAAGCAACAAUAGUAGGUGCACAAGCUUAUGGGUUAUGAUUUUGUUAUUGAAUAUAAUCCAGAAAAUUUGAGAAGGCAGAGAUCCACGGCCAUAGCUGUAGAUCUGGAGCUCGAGCUGUGGAAAUCUGGGAAGGAAUUAGGAGGUCAGAAAAUUGUAGCUAUAGUUGUGGUUCUGCAGCUAUAGCUGUGGAAAUCUGGAUUGCAAUUUUGAAGUUCUAGAGAUUUGAAGCUAAAGCUGCGGACUCACAACUAAAGCCAUGGAGCACCCAGGACCUAGCAAAAGUUCCAGAGAUCCAAGACCAUAGUUGUGGCUUCACUACUGCAGCGCUGGAGGUUCCUUAAGCUUAAAGGAUUUUCCACAGCUAUGGCUACGAAACCACAGUUGCAGCGUUGGAGGAUUCUUCACCCUGAAGGACUCUCCACAACUAUAGCUGUGGAUUUACAGCUGCAGCUGUGGGAGGAAAAAUCUUUUUUUCCCUUGUUUUAAAGCUCAUAUAAAAGGGGAAAUCGAGAAAACAGGGGGCAUGACGAAAACAGAUAAAGAAGCAAGAUUUGGAGCACACGAAGAGGAGAAAACAAGGCAAGAACGAAGACUUGGAAGUUGGAUCCUUUGGGAACAAAGAUCAACCUCUUUUCUUCAUUUUCUACUUUGUAAUCCCUUCUUUCACUUCUCUUAUCUUAUAAUGGCCAUGUGUGGCUGAACCCAUUGAGGAUUGGUCCUAGUGUAACUACUAACUCCUCUAUUUCUUGAAUCUAUAUAUGCAUUUCAUUUUCA